GACUAAAAUGAAGAAAAAUUACAAAAGAGGGGAAAAUUUGGAAUUAUUAAAAGAUGGAACACCUUAGCAUGUGAGUUGUCCAAGAACCAACUGGGCUCGACCAUAUGGCCAAGCAGGCAAAGGAGAGACAAAAGUGAACGGCUGAGAUCUACCACAAAAGAAGAUCAACAGUCGACUAUAACCCAUAAACACGGAAUCAUACGGUCUACAUUACAAGAUGAGGAAGAUCGAACGACCAAGAUAACGAACGGCCACGAUCGUCCGGUGAAAGGAUCGAACAGCCUAAAAUCACACGGCGUAAAGCAGAGAUGCGACAAAACCAACGACCCAGAUCACACAGAGAAGAGAUCUAACGGUCAGGAUUUAAAUGCAGGAUCGAAAGGACGAUGUUACCCUUAAUGAAGACGCAUCCAACGGCCAAUGUCUGUUGCAUGAAAUCAAACGGUUCAGGCGCUUCCACAACCAAAGUACAUAAGCUCCCCCCUCUGGUUUCGCAUAUUUCAACCAAGGCAUUCAAAACUGAUAUUUCGAGAAAUUCGUGAGUAGUUUUAAGGAAACAAAAUGCAUGGUACCAUAAGAUGAAUAUAAGAGAACAUGUAGGAACCGAGAGAUCGGCAAGAACCAAAACGAUUCAAUUGGGAAAACUCUUGAAAAGCCAGGUCCCAACACUGGCCAAAACUGCAAGAGUUGCAGUGUAGGUCGAGGGUCCUGUUUAUGUGAAGGAUUUUGAUGAUUUUAGUCGCCAACCCGUGAUGAAACCCAACUACGGCUGAGGUAAGAAUGUUUGGGUAUUGCUUUUCUAGAUAUUUUUUUUUCAACUUCUGUCACAAAAUACUAACUGGGUUUCGAGUUUUCUAAGAUUUUUUUGUUCUAUGCAGGUGCUAGUUGUGAAUGCACAAUGCUCUUGCGGUUAAACGUGCAGGGACAGUUGUGAAAACUUUUCUGUUUAAUGGUUUUUUGACGGUUUGGCUUUAGUUUAUGCUUUGAUUUCCCUUCUCAAUUGUGGGUUAAAUGAUUUUUGCUUGAUGAAUGUAUAGAGGUGUUUGAAGGAAGGUAAGAACUAAGGGAAAAAAUUAUAUGUACAUAUAUAUAUAUAUAUACACACACACACACACUCAUCAGGGUAUUCAUAAAUCAAAUUUUAAGAAAG
rnacentral:lncRNA from 1 species